rnacentral:rRNA from 1 species
AACGAACGCUGGCGGCAUCCCUAACACAUGCAAGUCGAACGAUGCCUUCGGGCAUAGUGGCGCACGGGUGAGUAACGCGUGGGAACCUGCCCUGUGGUACGGAAUAACUCCGGGAAACUGGAGCUAAUACCGUAUGUGUCCCCUGGGACAAAGAUUUAUCGCCACGGGAUGGGCCCGCGUAAGAUUAGCUUGUUGGUGGGGUAACGGCCUACCAAGGCUACGAUCCUUAGCUGGUCUGAGAGGAUGAUCAGCCACACUGGGACUGAGACACGGCCCAGACUCAUACGAGAGGCAGCAGUGGGGAAUAUUGGACAAUGGGCGCAAGCCUGAUCCAGCAAGGCCGCGUGAGUGAUGAAGGCCUUCGGGUUGUAAAGCUCUUUCGCACGCGACGAUGAUGACGGUAGCGUGAGAAGAAGCCCCGGCUAACUUCGUG